GCACAAGCGGCGGAGCAUGCGGUAUUAAUUCGAUGCAACGCGAAGAACCUUACCAAGGCUUGACAUACACCGGUAACGCCCAGAGAUGGGUGCCCCUUUGUGGUCGGUGUACAGGUGGUGCAUGGUUGUCGUCAGCUCGUGUCGUGAGAUGUUGGGUUAAGUCCCGCAACGAGCGCAACCCUCGCCCUAUGUUGCCAGCGGGUCAUGCCGGGGACUCAUGGGAGACUGCCGGGGUCAACUCGGAGGAAGGUGGGAUGACGUCAAAUCAUCAUGCCCCUUAUGUCUUGGGCUUCACGCAUGCUACAAUGGCCGGUACAAAGGGCUGCGAUACCGCGAGGUGGAGCGAAUCCCAGAAAGCCGGUCUCAGUUCGGAUUGGGGUCUGCAACUCGACCCCAUGAAGUCGGAGUCGCUAGUAAUCGCAGAUCAGCAACGCUGCGGUGAAUACGUUCCCGGGCCUU
rnacentral:rRNA from 1 species